AUAUUAACCCGGGUAGAAGGCGGUCUGUGCGGGAGAGAAGGGCGCCGAGAUUCGGGAUCUUGCGGGGAACGAAAACCAGCGACAAGGGGGGCGGCCGCUACCGGCGCGGCGGCCUCUGCUGCCGGCGCGGCAGGGGCGGCCUUCCCCUCGUGUUCCCGUUGCGCCCGCAGCUUCAGACGACGAAGCUCGUUAGACGUCUUCUGAAGAGGUCUCGCCAUGCGCGGUAGAGCCUCGAGCGGCGGCCGCUGGGGCUCGGCCCCAAGGGGCUGCGGCUUCGCCUCGCAGAGCGGAGGAGCUAUUGCAAGGAGUCUCUUACCUUCGUAAAAUUAAUACUCGGUUUUCCACAUUCAAAAUGAAUGCCGUGACCUAGUUGAAGUAGGUCUCUACUGUGUGUACUCUAAUGGAAUGGUGUCAAGAGCAGACGUAGACAAGGAGUCACGUUUAGUUACGUCCAGUGUGUAAACCUUCUACCCUCCCUAUUAUUAUGUAUGUCGAGACUAAAGUAAAAUAAGCGACCCCCCUUACAAACCAGCAACCUGACCACGGGCUCCAACACGCUGUUCGGAAGAAGAGGGCGUUUAACGCUCAUAGAACGACAACGACGAGUAGGAGGACCAAGAAGGAUGGUAUUUUAACCAUACGGUGACUAACCGUCUCCGUAGUAAGUUCAAACCACAUAACAUCGUGGGAAACUUCUCCGUGUAUGAUUAGUCAGUUACGAACGUAUGUCAUUAUCGUUAACAUCUCCUUCCGGAUCUUUUUAUGGUUUUCUCUUGUUAAGUUAACUCUCAAGUAGUCAAGGAGCUUUUGGUUAUCCCUCUGGCUCUUUCUAUUUUGACUGCUGACCCCUACUAGCGUGCCUUGCAUCAUCAGACUUUUUUGGUUGCCUAGUACGUCUUGGAUCAGACUUUUUUGGUUCCCCGUCUGGUUCUUUUAUAGGUGACAGUCAACGGUUUCACCAUCUAAGUUGUUUUUUAUCGCCUUCAGGUCCGAGAUCAAAACAACUGGGAGAACGGUGAAGUCCUCAAUAAGGUCCGCUAGAACGUAAUAGAACACCAUAUGGUAGACACGUCAGACACCUUAGUCGAGGUUUUUUUCCGUCCCCAUCUGGAUCCUUUUAGGGUUAACUGUUUUAUUUCACAAGCGGACUGUGACUUACCUGUCUUCUAUGGAGAUCUCGAGAUUAUACGACGUGCUUUGGUUUCUUUUUCUCCCCCUCCGGGGCCUUUAUAGGUGAGGGUUCGUCGUCGUUCGUACAAAGACCGUGACUAUGACUUAAACUUUCUCUUUGACCUAUGCGUCUCAGAUUAAGAUUAAAUUCAGAACAAUGUCAACUACGUCGUAAUGGUCAAGGUAGAGGUAGAGAAUGUUAAACACCCUUUUCUAGUUCUCCAGCCUUCCCAUCUCCUGCUGGAUUUUUCCUUUGUUUAACAACACGUGAAAGAAGCCGUCACCAAAGACUACAGGUUAGCGUCUCAUACCUCUGGUAAAGUUUACUAGGUCGUGUGAGACAACUCUUAGUAAACGGUAUACCUGUGAGAUUGAACUGUUCACUCGAAACAAGCUAAUCGUACGAUUCUACACUACCGUUACACGUGUGUCCGGGGUGAAAUCUUCUAAGGAACGACGGAUACGUAUAACGUCGAUUUAGUUUACCGCUCCUCAGUUCACCAUCAUCCUCUGCUCCUGCCGGAUCUUCCUUCUGUGAAAGUUUAUGUUUGUCAACAAAUAAACGAAGACCAUGGCUCAGGAGUUUCCGCCGAUGAUGUUAAUGGUUAAGCCUGUUAGGGUACCGAAACUGGUUCUCACUGCCACUUCGAUAUCGUUCGCUAGAACGAAGUUAACCAAGCAACUCCACAGUAUAUCCUUUCACGUUACAGUUAUACUCACGACGUAGUAGACUACGGUGUAGUGGUUGUGUACCGAACACAUUACGUUUAAUGUUCCUUUUUAAUUCACAGGUCGUCUGUUGAGGGGUCGGUUUACUAUUACACCGGAGUCAGGUUUUAACGUUCUUUCUUAAUUAACAGAUGUGGUCUUCCGCACAUGCUCCUGGAUGUUUCUUUGGACGAAGUUUAUUCUGGAUGAGUGGCCGAGAAUCACCACUACGAGUCUUCUGCCUCUCUAAGAGGUGCAUAUAGUACGGUUUAUUAUUAAACAGAAGACAACUCUUAGGGUUAGAUGACCCAAGUAGAUAUUCACUUCUGUACCGAUUGCUCCGACCAAACCAACCUACAUUCUCACGUGAACGAUUGGUACUUCAACACCUUUACUUACUAUCACUUCGACAUUUGUUUCAACGCGGACAAGGAAGACUUUUGUCACGGGUCUAGUAACAACGCCUUCUAUGUCUUCAUCAAGGUAGGUUUCUUAGUUCAUUUUUACUAUAAUAAUGAACACGUCUUUUGAGUUUGAAAAGACGUUAGGGGUUUCCGUAAGUAGAUGGUUCCCAGCAGAACACAAAUCGAGUAUUGCCGUUUCAACGAACCCUGUAGUUUACCUUCGGAGGAAAUGGUUUAGUCAGUCUUGUUUUUAGUGUAAACCCAAAAGAACGUCAUGAUAACCCUUUACCGAGUGAACUUCAUACCCUUCAAGGUAGAGGUUCGUACUAGGUCUUUUAUAUAAGGAGAAGAAGUCACUUCCCGUGGCUAGGAGCGAAAGAUUUCGACGUUGGACAUAAAUCUACACGAUUUCAAUUCACGCCUUUGUAUGUCUCAACUAACCAGCGGAAUAGGAGUACUAUACUAUGAUCGUCCUACAGUGCUACCUUGCCAACGAAAUACCUUCAAGAGAUGUCUGAACGGUAGUGUUCUAAGUUUUGGAAAAUACACACAGUGACGACUUAGACAAGGGUAGUCUCGGGAGAGCACCCGUGGUAUACAUUCACUCCUUUUGUGUUUAUAGAAGCAGUGACGACCUCUCCUACCGGAUUUUAAGACCCUAAAUUCUCUAGGUAUGGCAGGAGACACCCUUGAUUGGUGACGGGGUUCCCGACAAAAUUCAGAAGUAACCAAUUUCCUCCGAUCUCCAUAAUAGUAGAGUGACCUUCUACCGUGUAACUUCAAGGAGUCGGAUGGAUCUUAACGGUUACUACAAGGUCAGUGGCCUUCCGGUAAACGACCCUGAUUUUGAGUCCCGCAAAGAUGAAUAGUCAACAGUCUUAUAAACUAUACCUUACAGGUACAGAGUCUUUAAUGGCCAAUACGCCGAAUAACACACCGUCUACCAUGACGACACGCGAAGGUCGAAUGAAGCUCUAAGACCCUCUUCCUUGGACCCUCCUUGGCACACGGGAUAAAGGAAACACCAAGCGAUCGUCUCCUCCCUUGUUGGUAAUUCUAACCACCUUGUAACGUUUCGAGAGGAAACAGUUUACAAGGAGACUAACGUUUCUUCCCAGGUUUUGGUACGGUUUUUCAUGGAUUUCGGGUGUUAUGUGUUUUUCUCGUUCAUGAUUGUGAGUGGUUGAGUCUUGUACAUCUAGGUCUUGAAUCUCUCCCAGCUGAUCUACCUGGACCCCUCCCGGUUCUCUGAUUACGAGACCGAAAUCGGCUAAGAGAAUACGAUCUCUUACCACCGUGUACGUUGCAGGGUCAACUACUUCUGUGAUUUCUGAAACUCGAGAAGGGAGGGUUUCGACAUCGCGACGUAGUUGACUCCACCUUAUACUUGUUUCCGUCGCUCUUUACCAAUACGAUACCUCCGCGACGUCCGUAGUAAGCAACAGUCUCCUAGAUUUUCCGUUCGUGUUUACCCCUUACAAGCGACGUUGGGUCCCAGAAGGCACACAUAGGUGGAUGUGUUAUUCGACAACGUCGUAGUCGACAAUGAACGUCGUUAUAUACCAUACAAGCAGGCUAAGUUGGAAAGUUGCCCAACGGUAACGCCUACAGGUCACUACGUGUCAAUAUGAGGGAGGCAGGCCUUUAUGAACAGCCUCUUUACGUAUUUUUACCUACAUAGAUCUUGAUUUUAUGUAGAUCUAUGUAGGUAAGGAGGCUGUUCAUAAAGGCCUGCCUCCCUCAUGUAUUGUCUCGACACAUAGAAUCCUUGAGGUUGUCUAGGAACAUCAAAUCCUUGAGUUCAAGUCCGUUAUACUCGAUGGUCGAGGACGUAUAGAACCCGAGUAUGAGGGAGGCAGGCCUUUAUGAACAGUAACUUUAUCUACAUAGAUCUACGUAAAAUCAAGAUCUAUGUAAGUAAAAGUAGGUAAAACUACUGUUCAUAAAGACCUGUCUCCCUCAUCAAGACUCUUAUAAUCGUCGAGUCGUUGUCUUAUUUCCCGUAUCCAGACCUUAUUCACGCCCGAUCCGCGGACGUUGAAGAGACUUGGACCACGUUCAACAUUGACUCAAAAAAAAAGAAGGACAUUCCGACAUUGUAUACAUGUAGAUAACAAAUGCGUCAGUGUGUUUAAGUCGUUACAGUAACUGUUUGACUUGUUACAGUGCGGUUAUACAUUAUCUGCUUAUUACCUUUAGUACUCGGUAACGAGAACUAGUUUUCAACGCACUAUACAAC
rnacentral:rRNA from 1 species